rnacentral:rRNA from 1 species
UACGUAGGCAGCGAGCGUUGUUCGGAGUUACUGGGCGUAAAGGGUGCGUAGGCGGUUGUUUAAGUUUGGUGUGAAAUCUCCCGGCUCAACUGGGAGGGUGCGCCGAAUACUGAAUGACUAGAGUGCGGGAGAGGAGAGUGGAAUUCCUGGUGUAGCGGUGAAAUGCGUAGAGAUGCAGAGGAACACCGAUGGCGAAGGCAGCCCCCUGGGCUAACACUGACGCUCAGGCACGAAAGCGUGGGGAGCAAACAGG